UACGAAGGGGGCUAGCGUUGUUCGGAAUUACUGGGCGUAAAGCGUAUGUAGGCGGAUUGUUAAGUCAGGGGUGAAAUCCCGAGGCUCAACCUCGGAACUGCCUUUGAUACUGGCUUUCUUGAGUUCGGGAGAGGUGAGUGGAACUCCUAGUGUAGAGGUGAAAUUCGUAGAUAUUAGGAAGAACACCAGUGGCGAAGGCGGCUCACUGGCCCGAAACUGACGCUGAUGUACGAAAGCGUGGGGAGCAAACAGG
rnacentral:rRNA from 1 species